rnacentral:lncRNA from 1 species
AAAAAAAACACUUAAAAAAUGACUUAAAAUUCAAUAUGCUGAUUCCGAAACCAAGGACAAACAACCCAAAAAAGGUUUCGCUAAGUUUUCCAAUGAUUAAUAUUGUCAAA